AGGGCUACCAAGUAAGAAAUAUCCAUCCACGGAAUUCUCAUCUCGUUCAGUUUCGCACCAUCAAUCCAGGCAACAAAAACAGCCCAGCAUUUUACAGAUUUUCGAUUCCGGAAGAAGAGCUACUCAGCUCUCAUUCUCAUGUAAAAGAAGCAGUCCAAGAAUAUGAAACGCAAGGCGAGGCAAGGGAAAGCUUUGGAGAAGAGGGCAGCAAGAUCAUUCAUGGGUGUGCUACAAGAGGCAAAUAGAAGGGUUCUAUGAUAGCUCACAAUCAUGUUCUGUAAACUACACACGCGUGACGGCGUGAGGUGUGGGACAUGGUUCUGUUCACGCCGCUGUCAAGUUAUUGAUACUCGCUGCCUGAAAUUUGUGGCUUGAUUCAAUUCUUGAUAUCCACGAGCUAAAUCCAAUGUACUUCCGGUCCAUAAUGAUAUGUCAUCUGAGCUUUGAUCAAUAGGAUAUGCAUGUUUGUUGUGAAUAUUGUGUACUCUGUAGAAGGUAGGUAGGAGGUAGAAGACCAGUUUCUCAGCUGUUGUACUAGCAAAUUAGUUAGACCUUUUGUAAACAUUUUUUAUUUUUGCUUAAGAAGUGUUAUGCGACGAGCAGCAGUUAGAUACUUCAAUGCACUUGUAGUGGUUAUUC